AUGAACAACAUGUUGAAUGCUCCAUACAGUAAGGAUGAAGUGAAAACUGCGCUGUUUCAAAUGUUCCCAAUUAAGGCUCCAGGACCGGAUGGUUAUCCAGCACAUUUCUUUCAACAUCAUUGGGAAAUUUGUGGUGAUGAUGUAACAAAGGUGGUCCUGAAAAUAGCAGAAGGAACUGAAUCUGCGGAAUGCAUCAACGAGACGAUUUUGGUUCUCAUACCAAAGGCAAAAAAUCCAACACUAUUGUCCCAGUUCCGGCCAAUAAGCUUGUGUAAUGUUUUGUACAAGAUUGCUUCCAAAGUUAUCUCUAACAGAUUGAAGUUAGUUUUGCCUGACAUCAUAUCAGAGGAGCAAUCCGCUUUUGUUCCAGGCAGGUUGAUCACAGAUAACAUCAUCACAGCCUAUGAGUGUUUGCAUUUUAUGAAGAGGAACAAGGCAAAGAAAAAUCAAUCUUGUGCUUUGAAACUAGACAUGAUGAAGGCGUAUGAUAGAGUGGAGUGGCCUUACUUAAGGGCUAUAAUGUUGAAGCUGGGUUUUACUGAAAGAUGGGUAAACAUUGUUAUGGGUAUGGUAACAACUAUUGAGUUUGCAGUUUUAUUCAAUGGCAAGAAGCUCAGUAGCUUUAAACCUUCAAGAGGGAUCAGACAAGGGGACCCAAUAUCUCCAUACUUGUUCUUGUUAGCAGCAGAGGGCAUUCGUACCUUUUAA
rnacentral:rRNA from 1 species